AUUGCAAAAGAAAUGAAGAAAAAAAAUCAGUGAAGACCGAAAAAAGUUCAUUAUAUCCAACUUCCUCACUUUUUUGGUUCACUAUAUCUACGAAAAAUAAGAUUAUACGUGUCUAGCAAGGCACAGGACCGAAUAUUUCGUUCACUAUAUCCAGGAGUUCACUAUAAACCAUGUUUACUAUAGCAGGGUUUGACUGUAUAUAUAAAAAAUAUGUCAGAUUUUCUUUAUCUUUAAGAAAGGGUUAAAAGUACUUGAUACUAAAAAUACUUAUUUAUUCUUUUGAUUUCUGAAACUAAUACUUGUUUUUAAGUAAUUUAAUUUUAAUUAAAAUAAAUUAAUCAGAAAUAUUUCCGUUUUUCAGUGUGAUGAAGAUGUAGGAUGUAAAACAAAAGGAUUUCAGAAUGAUUCAACUAAAAUUCCACCACCUUUUCAUAGCCAUAAGAUUGUUUCUGAGUCUUUUUUUCUAAAAGGGAUCGCAUUAAACGUUUACUAAUUGUUGGUUCACCUUAUUGGAUGCAUCUGAGUGUUUAAAGGGAAAGUGGUAUAGUAAAAAGGCUGAUGUUUUUUCUUUUGGUAUCAUCAUGUGUGAAAUUAUUGUUAGAAUCGAAACUGAUCCUGAUAUUUUGCCUAGAACAGAGUAUGAGGAAGAUGUAGGAUGCAAAACGAAUUGUUUUUUAGAAUGGUUCAACUAAAAUUCCACCACCUUUUCAUAGCCAUAAGAUUGUUUCUGAGUCUUUUCUUUCUAAAAGUUCAUAAUUCGAGGACCUAUAUUGACAAAACUUAUUUAAAAAAGCGCUAGUGAAACAGAUUUUGGAAGAUUCAAAAAGUCCAUCUAGUCCCCAACUUCUUUUGAAACCAAGUAUGGAAAAUAUGUGUUCCUUUCAAAUGGUAACUAUGUAUGGUGAUAAAUUUUAUUAUUAUCCUUUUUUUUAAGCUACUUGUAAACAACUUUUGACUUAUUGAGUACUUGCAAUGCCUAAAGGUUUUUUUAAAAUCUAUUUUACUCUCUCUUAAACUCUUUUCUUCUUUAUUACUCAAUAUUGAGGAGAAAUGUCAAUAAAAAUUGACUCAGAAGCAGAAUACUCUCCCUGUAUAGAUUAUAUAAACUGCGAACAAAGAAUUGUAAGUUAUUAAUUUGUAACAUAAGACCAAAAGAGUAUAUUGCUUAACUGUCAACUCUAUUGGAUUUAACAUAAUUACUAACCUAGUACUAACAUAACUUACGUUAAUAUAAACUAUGUACCCUAAUUUGGUUCUUUAUCAUUUUUACUACUGGCUAAAUUAAUCUAGAUGGUAAUAUAAUAAAUAUCAGGCUGUUCCAAAA